rnacentral:rRNA from 1 species
UUUAUGGAGAGUUUGAUCCUGGCUCAGAGUGAACGCUGGCGGCGUGCCUAAUACAUGCAAGUCGAACGAUGAAGCUUCUAGCUUGCUAGAAGUGGAUUAGUGGCGCACGGGUGAGUAACGCAUAGGUCAUGUGCCUCUUAGUUUGGGAUAGCCAUUGGAAACGAUGAUUAAUACCAGAUACUCCCUACGGGGGAAAGAUUUAUCGCUAAGAGAUCAGCCUAUGUCCUAUCAGCUUGUUGGUAAGGUAAUGGCUUACCAAGGCUAUGACGGGUAUCCGGCCUGAGAGGGUGAACGGACACACUGGAACUGAGACACGGUCCAGACUCCUACGGGAGGCAGCAGUAGGGAAUAUUGCUCAAUGGGGGAAACCCUGAAGCAGCAACGCCGCGUGGAGGAUGAAGGUUUUAGGAUUGUAAACUCCUUUUGUUAGAGAAGAUAAUGACGGUAUCUAACGAAUAAGCACCGGCUAACUCCGUGCCAGCAGCCGCGGUAAUACGGAGGGUGCAAGCGUUACUCGGAAUCACUGGGCGUAAAGAGCGCGUAGGCGGGAUAGUCAGUCAGGUGUGAAAUCCUAUGGCUUAACCAUAGAACUGCAUUUGAAACUACUAUUCUAGAGUGUGGGAGAGGUAGGUGGAAUUCUUGGUGUAGGGGUAAAAUCCGUAGAGAUCAAGAGGAAUACUCAUUGCGAAGGCGACCUGCUGGAACAUUACUGACGCUGAUUGCGCGAAAGCGUGGGGAGCAAACAGGAUUAGAUACCCUGGUAGUCCACGCCCUAAACGAUGGAUGCUAGUUGUUGGAGGGCUUAGUCUCUCCAGUAAUGCAGCUAACGCAUUAAGCAUCCCGCCUGGGGAGUACGGUCGCAAGAUUAAAACUCAAAGGAAUAGACGGGGACCCGCACAAGCGGUGGAGCAUGUGGUUUAAUUCGAAGAUACACGAAGAACCUUACCUAGGCUUGACAUUGAGAGAAUCCGCUAGAAAUAGUGGAGUGUCUGGCUUGCCAGACCUUGAAAACAGGUGCUGCACGGCUGUCGUCAGCUCGUGUCGUGAGAUGUUGGGUUAAGUCCCGCAACGAGCGCAACCCCCUUUCUUAGUUGCUAACAGGUUAUGCUGAGAACUCUAAGGAUACUGCCUCCGUAAGGAGGAGGAAGGUGGGGACGACGUCAAGUCAUCAUGGCCCUUACGCCUAGGGCUACACACGUGCUACAAUGGGGUGCACAAAGAGAAGCAAUACUGCGAAGUGGAGCCAAUCUUCAAAACACCUCUCAGUUCGGAUUGUAGGCUGCAACUCGCCUGCAUGAAGCUGGAAUCGCUAGUAAUCGCAAAUCAGCCAUGUUGCGGUGAAUACGUUCCCGGGUCUUGUACUCACCGCCCGUCACACCAUGGGAGUUGUGUUUGCCUUAAGUCAGGAUGCUAAAUUGGCUACUGCCCACGGCACACACAGCGACUGGGGUGAAGUCGUAACAAGGUAACCGUAGGUGAACCUGCGGUUGGAUCACCUCCUUU